UAACCACUCAAGCCUUCGCUUGGUAUUGGGGUUCGCGGUCUCGCGGCCCCUAAAAUCAGUGGCGGUGCCUGUCGGCUCUACGCGUAGUAAUACUCCUCGCGUCUGGGUUCCGGUAGGUUGCUUGCCAACAACCCCCAAAUUUUUUACA
rnacentral:misc_RNA from 1 species